UACGAAGGGGGCUAGCGUUGCUCGGAAUCACUGGGCGUAAAGGGUGCGUAGGUGGGUCUGUAAGUCAGUGGUGAAAUCUCCGAGCUUAACUCGGAAACUGCCAUUGAUACUAUAGGUCUUGAAUUAUCUGGAGGUAAGCGGAAUAUGUCAUGUAGCGGUGAAAUGCUUAGAUAUGACAUAGAACACCAAUUGCGAAGGCAGCUUACUACGGAUCGAUUGACACUGAGGCACGAAAGCGUGGGGAUCAAACAGG
rnacentral:rRNA from 1 species